GCGGAAGAGGCGGCGCCGGGGCCGCGGCCGGGCUCCCGGGGCGGCGGCGGCGGGGCGGAGAAGGCGGAGCGCUACUCGGCUUGUCGGGCCCUUUAGGGGGCCGCAGCCGGGCGGGUUCGGGGAGGCGCCUGGGCCCGUGCAGGCCGCGCCCGGAGGCCGCGGCCUCCGAGGCUGGCUCCGCCCCGCUCGCGGCUGCGGGCCCGGUAGGCGUGGCCGGCAGCCAGCGCUCCUCCUCCGCCGCGUGUGUCGCGCGGCGGGGUUAGGGGGAGCCUGGAGCCCGGGAGCGCGAGCCGCGGAGGAGGACGGCGGCGACAAGAUGGCGUCGCUCCCGGGACGGGACGGCGGCUUCACGGCCUGGUGUCGGGACCCGGCUGAGGAGACUCCCCGAGAGGGGCAAGCCUCCCCGGCGUGCGCCGCCCUCCGGAGACGAGCGGACGUGCGCUGCCUCCAGGGGCUCGGGCUGCGAGGGUCCGGCUAAACCCAGGCGCCGACGACAAGCCGCUGCUGGAGCGGGGUGCACUGGACACAGGAGUGACCCAUCCAUCGCACAGAACACCAAGUUCAUGCAGACUCAAAGCCCCCCAUCAGAGUCUUCGAGAAUAGGCAAACUGAAUUCUAUAGUUUCUUUUAAUUUUUUUUUCUUUUAAAGACUAUUUUUAUUCUUUGACAGUUUCAUGCGUGUAUACAAUGAACUGUGAUCAUAACACCCCAUUCUUCCACCAAUCUCAAACACAGGCUCCUGUGAUGUAGACAGAUGAAAUGCGCUUAGGGCCUUGAUGGAUUUUCCUUAAUUUUUUUAAACCCGAUACGUUAUGCCACUUAUGUAUAAAAUUAGUGAUGAGGCCACUAGUCCGCCUAGCUGAGUAGAAAACUUAAUCCCAGAGUAAGUAAUUCCAUGUCAUUUAGAAAUUAAGAUUACACUUAAAGCCUCACUAAAUAAUAACAUCCCCCAAAAUAAUCAAGUUUUAUGUAAUUCACAGCUAGUAUACAAGAUUGCACAUGAAUCACUUGUAUUUUCUUAACAAGAUUACAUUCCAUAUAUAUUUCAUUCACUUGUUUAGGUUUGUGUUUAUUUUUGUUGUGGUUUCUUGUUUGCUGGCCUGCUUGGGCUAGCCCUUUGCCAUCCUGACUGCCUGGCCUGUUUUUUAUUUCUUUUAAACAUUACUGCUUUUAUUUAUUUAUUUUAAAAAGGGAGAGGGGAGAAAGCUUUUGUGCUAGCACCCAUGAUUUUGGAAUUAAGCAUACAUUUUAUUUUAAGACCGUAGGAUGGUGAUCCUUCUAAAAGAAAGUAUCACUCUCCUUAAGAGAGCCUUGGCUUUCUGUGGCCUCCCAGGUUGUUAUACAGAUGUUAGCAAUGCCAGCUUUUGUAGUCACUUCUGUACUCUGUGAUUGUAUAGACUGUGCUUUGGAAUUUUGAGAACUUUAAAAUUCAUUUUCAUAAUAAAAGCCCUCAAAAUUUCA